CUUCUGCUGUGAUGAAUUGUGAAUAAAAUUCACAAGUCAGACUUCAGAGAUUUUUUUAGAAAAUCUAUGAGAAGAAAAUUCAUGUUUUCUGAGCGGAGU